rnacentral:rRNA from 14 species
AGACCUCAGGUCAGGCGG